rnacentral:rRNA from 2 species
GCAUCGAUGAAGAACGCAGCGAAAUGCGAUAAGUAAUGUGAAUUGCAGAAUUCAGUGAAUCAUCGAAUCUUUGAACGCACAUUGCGCCCGCCAGUAUUCUGGCGGGCAUGCCUGUUCGAGCGUCAUU